GACGAACGCUGACGGUGUGCUUUAGACAUGCAAGUCGAACGAGAAAGCCCUUCGGGUUAGUAAAGGUGGCGAACGGGUGAGUAACACGUGGGCAAUCUGCCCCUCGCAGGGGGACAACCGGAGGAAACUCCGGCUAAUACCCGUAAGUUCAAAGGGAGGCAUCUCUCUUCGAAGAAAGGUAGCUUCGGCCAUCCGGCGAGGGAUGAGCCCGCGGUGCAUUAGCUAGUUGGUGGGGUAACGGCCUACCAAGGCGACGAUGCAUAGCUGGUCUGAGAGGAUGAUCAGCCACACUGGGACUGAGACACGGCCCAGACUCCUACGGGAGGCAGCAGUCGGGAAUCUUGCGCAAUGGGCGAAAGCCUGACGCAGCAACACCGUGUGUGUGAGGAAGGCCCC
rnacentral:rRNA from 1 species